rnacentral:piRNA from 1 species
CAGAUGGUUAUAUAAUUUGAU